UACGUAGGUGGCAAGCGUUGUUCGGAAUUAUUGGGCGUAAAGGGCGCGUAGGCGGUUUGUUAAGUCGGCUGUGAAAGCCCGGGGCUCAACCCCGGAGGGUCAGCCGAUACUGGCAGACUAGAGUACGGAAGAGGUAGCUGGAAUUCCCGGUGUAGCGGUGAAAUGCGUAGAUAUCGAGAGGAACACCUGCGGCGAAGGCGGGUUGCUGGGCUGACACUGACGCUGAGGCGCGAAAGCCAGGGGAGCGAACGGG
rnacentral:rRNA from 1 species